rnacentral:rRNA from 1 species
UAAUCUACCCUGAUGUCUGGGAUAACCAGCCGAAAGGCUGACUAAUACCGGCUAUAUGCCACCCUGUUGGGGGUAUCAGGAAAGGUGGCCUCUUCUUGAAAGCUAUCGCAUUGGGAUGAGUUUGCGUACCAUUAGCUAGUUGGUGGGGUAAUGGCCUACCAAGGCAUCGAUGGUUAGCGGGUCUGAGAGGAUGAUCCGUCACACUGGCACUGGAACACGGGCCAG